rnacentral:rRNA from 1 species
UGGGGAAUAUUGGACAAUGGGGGGAACCCUGAUCCAGCCAUGCCGCGUGUGUGAAGAAGGCCUUAUGGUUGUAAAGCACUUUAAGCGAGGAGGAGGGUACUGGUAUUAAUACUACCAGCUACUGGACGUUACUCGCAGAAUAAGCACCGGCUAACUCUGUGCCAGCAGCCGCGGUAAUACAGAGGGUGCGAGCGUUAAUCGGAUUUACUGGGCGUAAAGCGUGCGUAGGCGGCUAAUUGAGUCGGAUGUGAAAUCCCCGAGCUUAACUUGGGAAUUGCAUUCGAUACUGGUUAGCUAGAGUGUGGGAGAGGAUGGUAGAAUUCCAGGUGUAGCGGUGAAAUGCGUAGAGAUCUGGAGGAAUACCGAUGGCGAAGGCAGCCAUCUGGCCUAACACUGCCGCUGAGGUACGAAAGCAUGGGAGCAAACAGG